rnacentral:SRP_RNA from 1 species
CCGCUCCGCCCCAGAGGUGGCCUGGACGGCUCAGUGCGCCCUGUUUCACGUGGUCCGUUGUAACGUGGAGGCACAGAACGUAAAGGAAGCAGCGCGAGGCAAAGUCGCUCGCAUGCUGCUGGAUG